rnacentral:rRNA from 1 species
GACGAACGCUGGCGGCGUGCUUAACACAUGCAAGUCGAACGGAAAGGCCCUGCUUUUGUGGGGUGCUCGAGUGGCGAACGGGUGAGUAACACGUGAGUAACCUGCCCUUGACUUUGGGAUAACUUCAGGAAACUGGGGCUAAUACCGGAUAGGAGCUCCUGCUGCAUGGUGGGGGUUGGAAAGUUUCGGCGGUUGGGGAUGGACUCGCGGCUUAUCAGCUUGUUGGUGGGGUAGUGGCUUACCAAGGCUUUGACGGGUAGCCGGCCUGAGAGGGUGACCGGCCACAUUGGGACUGUGAUACGGCCCAGACUCCUACGGGAGGCAGCAGUGGGGAAUAUUGCACGAUGGGCGGAAGCCUGAUGCAGCAACGCCGCGUGCGGGAUGACGGCCUUCGGGUUGUAAACCGCUUUCGCCUGGGACGAAGCGUGAGUGACGGUAAUGGGUAAAGAAGCACCGGCUAACUACGUG